rnacentral:pre_miRNA from 1 species
AAUAAACCAAUUUUUCAUUUUUUAUCUAUAAUAUUUGACUUUUUGUCUUAUUUAAAUUUUCUAUUGAUAUUUUGUUUUUAUUAGAUGAUAAAUCAUGAAUAUUAUUUUACGUGUGACUAAUUUUUUCUAAUUUUUUGAAAAAAUUUUAAAUAAGACGGAUGGUUAAACGCUGGGCACAAAAACCGA